GCUGGGCAUGGUGGCAAAUGCCUGUAGUCCCAGCUACUCGGGAGGCAGAGGCUGGAGAAUCCCUUCAGUUCAGGAGUUCUGGGCUGUAGUGUGUUAUACCGAUCGGGUGUCUGUGCUAAGUUCAGCAUCAAUAUGGUGACCUCCUGGGAGCAGGGAACCACCAGGUUACCUAAGGAGGGGUGAAUUGGCCAAGGUCAGAAAUGGAGCAGGAUAAAACUUCCGUGCUGAUCGGUAGUGGGAUUGCACCUGUGAAUAGCCACUGCACUCCAGCCUGGGCAACACAGUGAGACCCUGCCUCU
rnacentral:SRP_RNA from 1 species